rnacentral:rRNA from 1 species
AGUGAACGCUGGCGGUGGGCCUAACACAUGCAAGUCGAACGGCAGCACAGUAAGAGCUUGCUCUUACGGGUGGCGAGGAGCGGACGGGUGAGGAAUACAUCGGAAUCUACUUUUUCGUGGGGGAUAACGUAGGGAAACUUACGCUAAUACCGCAUACGACCUACGGGUGAAAGCAGGGGAUCUUCGGACCUUGCGCGAAUGAAUGAGCCAGUGUCGGAUUCGCUAGUUGGCGGGGUAGGGGCCCCCCAAGGCACCCAUCCGUAGCUGGUCUGAGAGUGUGGGCAGCCACACUGGAUCUGAGCCACGCUCCAGACUCCUCGGGGGGGCCGCAGGGGGGACUAUUGGACAAUGGGCGCAAGUCUGCUCCAGCCAUCCCGCGUGGGUGAAGAAGUCCUUCGUGGUGUAAAGCCCUUUUGUUGGGAAAGAAAAGCAGCAGGUGAAUACCCCGCUGUUCUGACGGUACCCAAAGAAUAAGCACCGGCUAACUUCGU